UCUACGGGAGGCUGCAGUGGGGAAUAUUGCACAAUGGGGGAAACCCUGAUGCAGCGACGCCGCGUGAGUGAAGAAGUAUCUCGGUACGUAAAGCUCUAUCAGCAGGGAAGAAAAUGACGGUACCUGACUAAGAAGCCCCGGCUAACUACGUGCCAGCAGCCGCGGUAAUACGUAGGGGGCAAGCGUUAUCUGGAUUGACUGGGGGUAAAGGGAGCGGAGACGGCAGCACAAGUCUGGAGUGAAAUCCCGGGGCUUAACCCCGGAACUGCGUUGGAAGCUGGGCGGCUGGAGUGUAGGAGGGGUAAGCGGAAUUCCUGGUGUAGCGGUGAAAUGCGUAGAUAUUAGGAGGAACACCGGUGGCGAAGGCGGCUUACUGGACUAUAACUGACGUUGAGGCUCGAAAGCGCGGGUAUCGAACAGGAUUAGAUACCCGAGUAGUC
rnacentral:rRNA from 1 species